GAGAGGUAUUAAAUUUUUUAAGGUAGUUGUCAUGGUACAAUAUUGUCGAAAAAUUAGAGAUUAUACGUGCCGCAAAAGUAUAUGAGCUUGUAGCUAAG